AUUGGACGCUGGCGGCAGGCCUAACACAUGCAAGUCGAGCGGAGUGGCGGACGGGCGAGUAAUGCCUAUGAAUCUGACUGGCCGUGGGGGAUAACGUCCGGAAACGGGCGCUAAUACCGCAUACUAUCAGAUGAGCCUAUGUGGGAUUAGCUAGUUGGUGGGGUAAAGGCUUACCAAGGCGACGAUCCCUAGCUGGUCUGAGAGGAUGAUCAGUCACACUGGGACUGAGACACGGUCCAGACUCCUACGGGAGGCAGCAGUGGGGAAUAUUGGACAAUGGGCGAAAGCCUGAUGCAGCCAUGCCGCGUGUGUGAAGAAGGUCUUCGGGUUGUAAAGUACUUUAAGUUGGGAGGCGUUACCGACAGAAGAAGCACCGGCUAACUUCGUGCCAGCAGCCGCGGUAAUUC
rnacentral:rRNA from 1 species